rnacentral:rRNA from 1 species
GCAGUAGCCGCGGUAAUACGGAGGGGGCUAGCGUUGUUCGGAAUUACUGGGCGUAAGGCGCACGUAGGCGGCUUGGUAAGUUAGAGGUGAAAGCCUGGAGCUCAACUCCAGAAUUGCCUUUAAGACUGCCGAGCUAGCAGGUGAGAGAGGUAAGUGGAAUUCCGAGUGUAGAGGUGAAAUUCGUAGAUACUCGGAAGAACACCAGUGGCGAAGGCGGCUUACUGGCUCAUACUGGACGCUGAGGUGCGAAAGCGUGGGGAGCAAACAGGAUUAGAUACCCGCGUAGUCCCUGUCUCUUAUAC